rnacentral:rRNA from 1 species
UACAGAGGUCCCAAGCGUUGUUCGGAUUCACUGGGCGUAAAGGGUGCGUAGGUGGCAAGGUAAGUUUGAUGUGAAAUCUCCGAGCUUAACUCGGAAACUGCAUUGAAUACUAUCUUGCUUGAGGGUUGGAGGGGGGACUGGAAUUCUCGGUGUAGCAGUGAAAUGCGUAGAUAUCGAGAGGAACACCAGUGGCGAAGGCGAGUCCCUGGACAACUCCUGACACUGAGGCACGAAAGCUAGGGGAGCAAACAGG